rnacentral:rRNA from 1 species
UACGAAGGGGGCUAGCGUUGUUCGGAAUUACUGGGCGUAAAGCGAGUGUAGGUGGUUGUCCAAGUUGGAUGUGAAAGCCUUGAGCUCAACUCAAGAAAUGCAUUCAGGACUGGGCGGCUAGAGGACCGGAGAGGAUAGUGGAAUUCCCAGUGUAGUGGUGAAAUGCGUAGAGAUUGGGAAGAACACCAGUGGCGAAGGCGGCUAUCUGGACGGUUUCUGACGCUAAGACUCGAAAGCGUGGGGAGCAAACAGG